rnacentral:lncRNA from 1 species
CACUCCACGACAAUUCUUGUUAGUCUUUUCAUUAUUGUUCGUCACUUCUUUUCCCCUUUUUCUUUUUAAAACUACACAGUUUAUGAGAUUAUAUUGAAUAUGUUGUUAUUGUUAUUAUUACCUAGCUUGAUUUGAUGUGAAGGAUAUAUAGGUAAUAUGUAAGAGUAUAUCUAUAUUAGUAGGUACAUAUUGAUUUGUUGUCCAUUCUAGUAGUCACAGUGUUACUAUUGUUUCUUG